UCAAAAACUGCAGUUUGCAAAUUUUUGAUUCCUUAGCUCCCGAAAACCUUCCACAACGCACUUUUACUCAUUUUAACACCUUCGGACUUUCCGAAGUGUACCGUCCUCGCACUUUGGUCAAUUUGACUAAAGUUCGACAUUUAUUUUCCGAAUUCUCGGUAUAUUACAUUCUCCACCCCUUAAAAUAAUUUCGUCCACGAAAUUACAUAUAUCUUAACUUGUUGACUCAAAUGAAU
rnacentral:lncRNA from 1 species